ACAAUUUGCACUAGAAAAUGCUAAACCUUUUAUGUUCAUAAAAUAGACCUUGUAUCUUGAAUUUUUACAUAUAACAUUUUAAUGGUAACUAUAAAUCUCAGUUAAUGUUUUUAAGAGUAUUCAAAAAUAUAUUCUUGUUUUUGGUCAGUAUAUUAUUUGUCUCCCCCAUAUUAUCAUUAAUAUCAAUUCCAUUCACCAAUUCAGCAAAUUCUGAGUGGGCAAUCAGUACACUCUUUCCUGAAUAUAUACUCAAUACAUUAAUUUUAAUGAUAGGAGUUGGUGGUGUAGCUUUUAUAUUUGGUGUAAUUCCAGCUUGGCUUA